rnacentral:rRNA from 1 species
CCUACGGGUGGCAACAGUGGGGGAUAUUGCACAAUGGGGGAAACCCUGAUGCAGCGACGCCGCGUGAGUGAAGAAGUAUUUCGUUAUGUAAAGCUCUAUCAGCAGGGAAGAAAAAAGACGGUACCUAACUAAGAAGCCCCGGCUAACUACGUCCCGGCAGCCGCGGUAAUACGUAGGGGGCAGGCGUUCUCCGGAUUUACUGGGGUGAAAGGGACGGUAGACGGCAAUACAAGUAGGAAGUGAAAUACCCGGGCUCAACCUGGGAACUGCUUUGGAAACUGUAUGGCUGGAGUGCUGGAGAGGUAAGCGGAAUUCCUAGUGUAGCGGUGAAAUGCGUAGAUAUUAGGAGGAACACCAGUGGCGAAGGCGGCUUACUGGACAGUAACUGACGUUGAGGCUCGAAAGCGUGGGGAGCAAACAGGAUUAGAUACCCUUGUAGUC